rnacentral:lncRNA from 1 species
CUGCAGAUACUGCCAAGCCAUGCAUAAAUGCCAUAAUGCACCCUCCCAAUACUCUACUAAAAAGGAGCAUAAUCAAGACUACCACUCACUCGGCCACGACCCAAUUAUAACUGACAUCAGGGAUGGGAGUGAGGAAUCACGGGAGUACAAUGCAACUCAAUAUACCAUGAGAAGGGCUCUACAAGUCUUUGAAAUAGAGGAAAUAAAAUCAAUUAACAAAAGAAGUCAUUUCACAAUUCAGAUUCAAUUUAAUUACUCAUAAAGGAGUAUAAUCAAAGCUACUACUCACAAGUCUUUGAAAUAGAGGAAAUGAAAUCAAUUUACAAAAGAAGUUAUUUCACAAUUCGGAAUCAAUUUGGUUACUCAUCAACCCCUCGUAAUUUCUCUCAAUGUUCCCUCAAAUGCAUAUACAGGAUAAUCAAGCAUGGAGAAUCAAGAUUAUAGAGGAAUCUACUACAAUAUCAAUCAAUAUGCUCAAGUGGAAUCAAUUCACACUUGGCCACAUUUAUGAAAAUGAAUUAAGGAUGCUCAUGGUGCAAAGUAUAAACUCCCACUCACCUGCCAAUCCGGCACGGCCUCGAUACGCCUCUAGAAUUUUACAGUAGGCAGCAGGGGACUUCUUCCUCUUGUUCCCUAGCUUCUUGCCCAACUGUGACAUGCAUUUACAAUACAUUUAGUUUUGUAUCAAGGGCUAUAAUCUACGUGCCAAUUAUAAUAUAGGAAACUUUAAUUGAUUCAACUCC